CCUACGGGAGGCAGCAGUCGAGAAUCAUUCACAAUGGGGGAAACCCUGAUGGGGCGACGCCGCGUGGGGGAAUGAAGGUCUGCGGAUUGUAAACCCCUGUCAUGGGGGAGAAAAUUACAACGAUAGUACCACCCUAGGAAGAGCCGGCUAACUCGGGUCCAGCAGCCGCGGUCAUACAGAGGUCUCAAGCGUUGUUCGGAAUCACUGGGCGUAAAGCGUGCGUCGGCGGUUUCGUAAGUCGUGUGUGAAAGGCGCGCGCUCAACCCGCGGACGGCCCCUGACACGGCGAGACUCGAGUAAUGGAGUGGGAACCGGACUUCUCGGUGUAGCAGUGAAAUGCGUAGAUAUCGGGAGGAACAUUCGUGGCGAAGGCGGGUUCCUGGACAUUAACUGACGCUGAGGCACGAAGGCCAGGGGAGCGAAAGGGAUUAGAUACCCCUGUAGUC
rnacentral:rRNA from 1 species